UACGAAGGGGGCUAGCGUUGCUCGGAAUCACUGGGCGUAAAGCGCACGUAGGCGGCUUUUUAAGUCAGGGGUGAAAUCCUGGAGCUCAACUCCAGAACUGCCUUUGAUACUGAGAAGCUUGAGUCCGGGAGAGGUGAGUGGAACUGCGAGUGUAGAGGUGAAAUUCGUAGAUAUUCACAAGAACACCAGUGGCGAAGGCGGCUCACUGGCCCGGUACUGACGCUGAGGUGCGAAAGCGUGGGGAGCAAACAGG
rnacentral:rRNA from 1 species